rnacentral:rRNA from 1 species
AUUGAACGCUGGCGGCAGGCUUAACACAUGCAAGUCGAGCGGGGUGAUGGUGCUUGCACUAUCACUUAGCGGCGGACGGGUGAGUAAUGCUUAGGAAUCUGCCUAUUAGUGGGGGACAACAUCACGAAAGGGAUGCUAAUACCGCAUACGUCCUACGGGAGAAAGCAGGGGAUCACUUGUGACCUUGCGCUAAUAGAUGAGCCUAAGUCGGAUUAGUUAGUUGGUGGGGUAAAGGCCUACCAAGGCGACGAUCUGUAGCGGGGCUGAGAGGAUGAUCCGCUACACUGGGACUGUGACACGGCCCAGACUCCUCAGGGAGGGCGCAGUGGGGAAGAUUGGACAAUGGGUGGAACCCUGUUUCAGCCAUGCCGCGUGUGUGAAGAAGGCCUUAUGGUUGUAAAGCACUUUAAGCGAGGAGGAAGCUCUUUUGGUUAAUACCCAAGAUUAGUGGACGUUACUCGCAGAAUAGCACCGGCUAACUCUGUGCCAGCCGCCGCGGUAA